rnacentral:rRNA from 1 species
UGAAGGCCCUGCAAAGCAGCAUCGCGGUGGCGGAGCGUCGUUUGCGACGCCCAACACACAAAACAAGCGGUGAAUGCUUUGGGGUGGGGUGACUGCGUACCUUUUGUAUAAUGGGUCAGCGACUUAUAUUCUGUAGCAAGGUUAACCGAAUAGGGGAGCCGGAGGGAAACCGAGUCUUAAUUGGGCGUUAAGUUGCAGGGUAUAGACCCGAAACCCGGUGAUCUAGCCAUGGGCAGGUUGAAGGUUGGGUAACACUAACUGGAGGACCGAACCGACUAAUGUUGAAAAAUUAGCGGAUGACCUGUGGCUGGGGGUGAAAGGCCAAUCAAACCGGGAGAUAGCUGGUUCUCCCCGAAAGCUAUUUAGGUAGCGCCUCGUGAAUUCAUCUCCGGGGGUAGAGCACUGUUUCGGCUAGGGGGCCAUCCCGGCUUACCAACCCGAUGCAAACUGCGAAUACCGGAGAAUGUUAUCACGGGAGACACACGGCGGGUGCUAACGUCCGUCGUGAAGAGGGAAACAACCCAGACCGCCAGCUAAGGUCCCAAAGUCAUGGUUAAGUGGGAAACGAUGUGGGAAGGCCCAGACAGCCAGGAUGUUGGCUUAGAAGCAGCCAUCAUUUAAAGAAAGCGUAAUAGCUCACUGGUCGAGUCGGCCUGCGCGGAAGAUGUAACGGGGCUAAACCAU